GGCCUAGUGGCUCAGUUGGUUAGAGCGCCGCCCUGUCACGGCGGAGGUCACGGGUUCGAGUCCCGUCUGGGCCG
rnacentral:tRNA from 1 species